UGGAGAGCGCGGAGGGCCGACCUGACCCGCCGAAAGGGCCUGAGGCGAGGGGAGCCCGGGUCCCGGGGCCUUGGGGAAGGACCCGCAGCCGCACGCCGGCCCCAAGUGCAAAGCAUUGACACGACCCCGAGCGGAGAGGGGGCGCCCUCCUUCUCCCGCGCCCAGAGGCCCGGCCGCUCUGGCCCGAGCCCCAGCCUGGCCUCCGACCCAGCUCCGGGUCGUGGCGCCGCCUGGGGGUCCCUGCGCCCCGGAAAGAGACAGCAGGCACUGGAAAGCGAGGCCGGUGGGCGGGCGAGUCGGGAGGCUCGGGCGGCCGAGGUCCGGGAGCGGAUCCCAGGUGGCGGGAGCUGGUGCCCUGGCAGGAGGGACUGGCUUAUGCCACCCUGUGCAGGAUCGUCUUCUCAGCUUACAGAGCCUAGUGUGAUUCAACAACCCUCCAUCUCUGCCCCCAACAUGCCCAACUGAUCUGGUGGAGGGAACUGAAGAUGAAGGCCUCUCAGGCACCAUGGAUGGGAUGGGUGUGUGUGAAGGGGGCAGGGUCCCCAGGAGCUGCCCCAGGUCUGGCUGGACAGUUGCACGGGAAGUCCUGUUUGUGAACUCAACGUUUCCACGGCUUUUCCAUUAAACUUUACCCCAAAUC
rnacentral:lncRNA from 10 species